GCAGCAGGGUUGGUAACACUGGCCACAACAACAACAACACAGUCUGUUCACCUGUUCUGUUAUAUGAAGAAUUAGCCUUGCACUACCAACACCCACUACCAUAAAGCUCAUUGUGUCGGCAGUACUCCACAACAGUCAGAUCUGAUGCAUCACGUGAAGGCUGAUAUGACAGAGAAACCACAUCGGUGUUUGGAAUGCUUGAAAUACUUUCCAAGUAAAACACGACUCAUACGUCACACAAGAGUUCAUACUGGAGAGAAACCAUAUCAGUGUUCUGAGUGUUUAAAAGAAUUUUCACAGAAGUCGUCUCUGAUACUUCAUACAAGAGUUCACACAGGAGAGAAACCUUAUAAAUGUUCAAGGUGUCUAAAAGAUUUUUCACAGAGAUCAACUUUAAUGCAACAUAUGAGAGUACAUUCAGGUGAGAAACCAUAUCAGUGUUCAGUGUGUCUAAAACACUUCUCACAAAAUUCAAAUUUAAUGCAACACAUGAGAGUUCACACAGGAGAGAAACCUUAUCAAUGUUCAGAGUGUCACAAAGACUUUAAACAAAAAUCUGUUCUAGUACAACACAUGAGAGCUCAUACUGGAGAGAAACCAUUUCAGUGUUCAGAAUGCUUAAAGGAGUUUAGAGGGAAAAAAAAUUUAAAACAGCACAUGAGAGUUCAUACAGGAGAGAAGCCUUAUCGGUGUCCAGUGUGUUCAAAAGAUUUUUCAAAAAAGUCACAUUUAGUACGACACAAAAGAGUUCAUAUGGGAGAUCAGCUAUUUCAGUGUUCGGAAUGUUUCAAAGAUUUUAAACAUAAAUCAAAUCUAAUCCUUCACAUGAAAGCUCAUGUAAAAGAGAAACCGUAUCGUUGUUCAGAGUGUCUAAAAGAUUUUAAACAAAAAUCCUAUCUAAUGCUUCAUCAGAGAGUUCAUACACAAGAGGCAAUAGCACUUCAGUGUUCCAUAUGUCUCAAAUUUUUAUCAAAAAAAUCACAUUUAAUACGACACAUGAUAGCUCAUACAACAGAGAAAGCAUAAUGCUCUUUGGUUUCUGGCAGAAUUUUAAUUUAAGUAUAAUAAAAUCUUGAGAAUUCAGAAGAGAAACCACAUUAGCAUUCUGUAUUUGAAAUUUUUAAAAAAAUUUCAACUCGUUAGGUAUUUGAGAACCCAUAUAAAAUUUAGGAAUGCAUUUUUACAUUGAGGUUAUCUAGUAACAAAAAAACUUGCAUGAAUGUUAGUUGAUUUUGGAUUAAGAGAACAAAACAAAAUGGUAAGUUUGAGGGCACUGCAGUGUACCUGUCUGUCCUCUACCAACAACACUGUGUGUGUGUGUGAGGACACUGCAGUGUACCUGUCUGUUCUCAACCAACAACACUGUGUGUGUGUGUGAGGACACUGCAGUGUACCUGUCUGUUCUCAACCAACAACACUGUGUGUGUGUGUGUGAGGACACUGCAGUGUACCUGUUUGUUCUCAACCAACAACACUGUGUGUGUGUGUGUGAGGACACUGCAGUGUACCUGUCUGUUCUCAACCAACAACACUGUGUGUGUGUGUGAGGACACUGCAGUGUACCUGUCUGUUCUCCACCAACAGCAGUGUGUGCAUGUGAGGACACUGCAGUGUACCUGUCUGUCCUCCACCAACAGCAGUGUGUGCAUGUGAGGACACUGCAGUAUACCUGUCUGUUCUCCAUCAACAACAGUGUGUGUGUGUGAGGACACUGCAGUGUACCUGUCUGUCCUCCACCAACAACAGUGUGUGUGCGAGGACACUGCAGUAUACCUGUCUGUUCUCAACCAACAACAGUGUGUGUGCGAGGACACUGCAGUAUACCUGUCUGUUCUCAACCAACAACAGUGUGUUGUGCGAGGACACUGCAGUAUACCUGUCUGUUCUCAACCAACAACAGUGUGUGUGCGAGGACACUGCAGUAUACCUGUCUGUUCUCAACCAACAACAGUGUGUGUGCGAGGACACUGCAGUAUACCUGUCUGUUCUCAACCAACAACAGUGUGUGUGCGAGGACACUGCAGUAUACCUGUCUGUUCUCAACCAACAACAGUUGUGUGUGCGAGGACACUGCAGUAUACCUGUCUGUCCUCCACCAACAACAGUGUGUGUGUGCGAGGACACUGCAGUAUACCUGUCUGUUCUCCAUCAACAACAGUGUGUGUGUGUGAGGACACUGCAGUGUACCUGUCUGUCCUCCACCAACAACAGCGUGUGUGUGAGGACACUGCAGUGUACCUGUCUGUUCUCAACCAACAACAGUGUGUGUGUGAGGACACUGCAGUGUACCUGUCUGUCCUCCACCAACAACAGUGUGUGUGUGAGGACACUGCAGUGUACCUGUCUGUUCUCCACCAACAACUGAGUGUGUGUGUGUGAGGACACUGCAGUGUACCUGUCUGUCCUCCACCAACAACAGUGUGUGUGUGAGGACACUGCAGUGUACCUGUCUGUUCUCCACCAACAACAGUGUGUGUGUGAGGGCACUGCAAUGUACCUGUCUGUCCUCCACUAACAACAUUGUGUGUGUGUGAGGACACUGCAGUGUACCUGUCUCUCCUCACCAACAACAGUGUGUGUGUGAGGGCACUGCAGUGUACCUGUCUGUCCUCCACUAGCAACAGUUAUGUGAGGGCACUGCAGUGUACCUGUCUGUCCACUACCAACAACAGUGUGUGUGAGGACACUGCAGUGUACCUGUCUGUCCUCCACUAACAACAGUAUGUAAGGGCACUUCCGUGUACCUAUCUGUUCUACACCAACAACAGUGUGUGUGAGGGCACUGCAGUGUACCUGUCUGUCUUCCAACAACAACACAGUGUGUAAGGGCACUGCAGUGUACUGUCCUCUACCAACAACAAUGUGUGUGUGUGAGAGAGAGCACUGCAGUGUACCUGUCUGUCCUCCAACAAUAACAAUGUGUGUGGUGAUGCCAGCACUCUUUAAGAAACUACAGUGUGUAUACCUAACAAGCUUUGUCCAUUGUUUGAUAAUCAUUUGACCCAGUGGAUUUUGACCCAUAUUUCCAGUCUGUUAAUUAAAGGUCUCUUUAAUUGAAGAGUUACUGUAUAUGACAUAUGCAAACCCCUGGUCAAUUUGCAGGACAGACUGGCUGGACACUGCUGUUGACCCUUGCUUAAUGAAUAUUCGCUGAGCAUAAUUUUGAGGAACAGCCAAAAAAUAAAAAUUCCCUGCUUGAAUACCAUUUUUAUGCACUUGCAAUGACCUCAUGCCAGGCAGUAACUAUUAUUAACUGACAAGGCGUAUACAUACCUGCUGUUAUUUCAAUAAAAUAUAUUUCUUUUACUAGUUCCAUAUGUGUCAGUUUACAGUGGACCCCCGGAUUAAGAAGUCAUCAGAAUAAGUAAUAAUUGGAAUAAAUAAAAUUUUUGCGUCAAAAUAUUGGCUCGGUGAACAUCACUGAACUCGGUAUAAGUCAUUCGUGUUGGGGCCUGAUCUGCCCAGUGUGCCAUUGUUUACCAGCCAGCGAGGACGACGAUCCCACACAUUCAUACAAUACAUUUUGUAUUAUUCCAUUCUUUUUAGUGCUUGUAACUGCUAAAUAAGCCACCAUGGGCCCAAAGAAAGCUUCUAAUGCCAGUCAGCCCUUUGGUAAAGGGCUGAGAGAGAGAGAGGGGAGAAUGUGCCUUUUUCAGUGAUUCUGCAAUAUGUAUGAUACUAAACAGCAGGAGUCUAUAAAGGUUAUAGUGCCAGCCAGUGAUAAAAUGUAGCAUUAACUUAAUCGAUAGAAAAAGGGCAGCAUGAACCAAACUCCUCCAAUGUUGUUGGAGUUAUAUAGGGUGACUAACAACACUGCCGUCUCUAGUCUCUACUGUUGCUGCCACCUCCACCACCGCUAUGUAUGGUUUAUGUCUCAGUGGCCCUUAUAUACCCAACAACAGUAACACAGCAACACUUGUGACAUACUUAAUGACGUAUUUUAUUCAUUCUAGAGUAUGUCAUGUUUCUGUGUUAUUAAUAUUGUUUAUUAUGUCAGAUGAAUUGUGCUAGAUAAAUAAGCCGUAGAGCUGAUAUUAGUGUGAUAUUGAAGGACUAUCUUGUUCUCUCUCCCAGCACAAUUCCUAACAUAUGCCAGAAACAGACCUGUCUGGAAAACUUUUUUGAGCAACAGGGGUCCAGCGACUCUCAAGCUGGUCCUAGUGGCAUUAAAAAACAAAGGAGGGAAGUAACCCAGGAUAAGGACUUGGUACCUGAAGUCUUUAUGGAGUGGAUUUCCCUUCCAAACAAUUGUAAACUCCUCCAUCCUCUCCCCUCCUCUCGUCUUCCAUACAUCACCAUGUCUUCAAUAAAGGUAAGUUUGAUGUUAUUAUCACUAUUCUUCAUGUAUCAUUGUUUUCUGUGUAGGUAAAUGUAUGUUUCAUGUAGAAAACAUUUUUUUAAUACUUUUGGCUGUCUGAAACGGAUUAAUUGAUUUCCAUUAUUUCUUAUGGGGAAAAUUAAUUCGGAAUAAGUCAGAUUCGGGAUAAGUCAUUCUUCCUGGAACGGAAUAAUUUCGUAAUCUGGGGGUCCACUGUAUUUUAAAUAAAAUUUACUGAAGAAAAAUAUGGGUGUGAUGUAUGGGUUGUAAAUGUUGCAGCAAGGAGGAGGCUGGAGGAAGUGGAGAUGUCAUGUCUGAGGGAAAUGUGCAGUGUAAAUAUUAUGAAAAGAAUUCGUUGUUUGGAGAUUAAGAUGAGUUGCAAGGUUACUGAAAGUAUUAUGCAGAGGGCUGAAGAGAAGUUAUUGAGGUGGUUCGAACAUUUAGAAAGACUGGAGCAAAAUAGGGUGACUUGGAAGGCAUAUAAAUCUGUAAUGGAGGAAAGGCAGGGCAGGGGUCACUCUAGAAAAGGUUGGAGGGAGAGAGUAAAGGAAGUUUUAUAUGUGAGAGGCUUGGAUAUCCAGCAGUUCCCUACAGCCUGAUCGUGGACUGGGCUGCGGGGACGUUGAUCCCCAGAACACCCUUCAGGUAGGUAGAGCAUGUUAGAUAGGAUUGAGUGGAGGCAAGUGGUUUUUAUGACUUUGUGCUGUUCGAGUGUGAGCAAGGUAACAUUUAUGAAGGAAUACAGGGAAAUCAGUUAGCCAGACUUGAGUCCUGGAGGUAGGAAGUACAGUACCUGCACUCUGAAGAAGGGGUUGGAAUAUUUGCACUUUAAACAGGUAUCUGAGCUGUAAUGUCAUUACAUCUCUGGCAAGACAAUGGUGGAGUGAGUGAUGGUGAAAGUGUCACUUCUUUUUCAGGUCACCCUGCCUCUGUAGAGGAUGGCUGGUGUGUUAAAAAAUAAAAAGAACCUCAGAUCAGUUGUAAUAUACAAUACCACAUUUCUUGACCAAAUAUAGCAGACAAAUAGGGACCCACUAAGCCUACACCAAAUUACAGUAGACAAAUAGGGACCCACUAAGCCUACACCAAAUUACAGUAGACAAAUAGGGACCCACUAAGCCUACACCAAAUUACAGUAGACAAAUAGGGACCCACUAAGCCUACACCAAAUUACAGCAGACAAAUAGGGACCCACUAAGCCUACACCAAAUUAUAGCAGAUAAAUAGGGACCCACUAAGCCUACAUCAAAUUAUGAAUAUAGACAAAUAGGGACCCAAUGAACAUACACCAAAUUAUAGCAGACAAAUAGGGACCCACUAAGCCUACACCAAAUUAUAACAGACAAAUAGGGACCACUAAGCCUAUACACUAAAUGAUCAUAAG